AGGAUCAUUCGCAAUGGGGGAAACCCUGACGAUGCGACGCUGCGUGGAGGAUGAAGGCCUUCGGGUUGUAAACUCCUGUCAUGAUGGAAAAGGAGAGGGGACCCAACACGUCCCUUAUUUGAUGGUACAUCAAGAGGAAGAGACGGCUAACUCUGUGCCAGCAGCCGCGGUAAUACAGAGGUCUCGAGCGUUGUUCGGAUUUACUGGGCGUAAAGGGCGCGUAGGCGGCGCGGCGUGUCGAGUGUGAAAUCUCCGGGCUCAACCCGGAAAGUGCGCUCGAAACUGCCGUGCUCGAGUGCGGGAGAGGGAAUCGGAAUACAGGGUGUAGCGGUGAAAUGCGUUGAUAUCCUGUAGAACACCGGAUGCGAAGGCGGAUUCCUGGAACGCAACUGACGCUGAGGCGCGAAAGUCGGGGGAGCAAACA
rnacentral:rRNA from 1 species